UCAGCCACAUUGGGACUGAGACACGGCCCAGACUCCUACGGGAGGCAGCAGUGGGGAAUAUUGGACAAUGGGCGCAAGCCUGAUCCAGCCAUACCGCGUGUGUGAAGAAGGCUUUCGGGUUGUAAAGCACUUUAAGUAAGGAGGAAAAGAUUGUAGUUAAUACCUGCAAUCCGUGACGUUACUUACAGAAUAAGGACCGGCUAAUUCCGUGCCAGCAGCCGCGGUAAUACGGAAGGUCCAAGCGUUAAUCGGAAUUACUGGGCGUAAAGCGCGCGUAGGUGGUUUUUUAAGUUGGAUGUGAAAGCCCUGGGCUCAACCUAGGAACUGCAUCCAAAACUAGAUGACUAGAGUACGAAAGAGGGAAGUAGAAUUCACAGUGUAGCGGUGGAAUGCGUAGAUAUUGUGAAGAAUACCAAUGGCGAAGGCAGCUUCCUGGUUCUGUACUGACACUGAGGUGCGAAAGCGUGGGUAGCGAACAGGAUUAGAUACCCUGGUAGUCCACGCCGUAAACGAUGACAACUAGCUGUUGGGAGACAAGAUCUCUCAGUGGCGCAGCUAACGCUUUAAGUUGUCCGCCUGGGGAGUACGGCCGCAAGGUUAAAACUCAAAUGAAUUGACGGGGACCCGCACAAGCGGUGGAGCAUGUGGUUUAAUUCGAUGCAACGCGAAAAACCUUACCUACUCUUGACAUACUUGGAAGCUCUUGUAAUGAGAGUGUGCUUUUAGAGCCAAGAUACAGGUGCUGCAUGGCUGUCGUCAGCUCGUGUCGUGAGAUGUUGGGUUAAGUCCCAUAACGAGCGCAACCCUUACCCUUAUUUGCCAGCGGUUCGGCCGGGAACUAUAAGGGGACUGCCGGUGACAAACCGGAGGAAGGUGAGGACGACGUCAAGUCAUCAUGGCCCUUACGAGUAGGGCUACACACGUGCUACAAUGGGGAAUACAGACGGACGCUAAAGCGUGAGCUGGUGCUAAUCCUAAAAAAUUUCUCGUAGUCCGGAUUGCAGUCUGCAACUCGACUGCAUGAAGUCGGAAUCGCUAGUAAUCGCGAAUCAGCAUGUCGCGGUGAAUACGUUCUCGGGUCUUGUACACACCGCCCGUCACACCAUGGAAGUGUGUUGCACCAGAAGUAGGUAGUCUAACCUUCGGGAAGGCGCUUACCACGGUGUGAUCCAUGACUGGGGUGAAGUCGUAACAAGGUAGCCGUAGGGGAACCUGUGGCUG
rnacentral:rRNA from 1 species